rnacentral:misc_RNA from 1 species
GUAGGUGAACCUGCGGAAGGAUCAUUAAUGAAUCUCGGGAGUCCCUCCUAACCGGAGAAGGCCCGCAUCAUUAUUUCACACACUUGUGCAUUUGUCCCCUUUCAAUACCUUUAACCCUGUAUGCAUUUGAAACAGUCAUUGGUUAACAAACAUGAUAAAUGAAAGAAAAACUUUCAGCAAUGGAUCUCUUGGCUCUCGCAUCGAUGAAGAACGCAGCAUCUGACUGACUGUAACCGUAACCAUCUCGUAU